GAUGAACGCUGGCGGCGUGCUUAAUACAUGCAAGUCGAACGGAACGGCUCUGCUAUUGUGGGGUUCUCGAGUGGGGAACGGGGGUGUAACACGUGAGGAACCGUCCCUUGACUUUAGGAUAACUUCAGGAGAGUGGGGAUAAUAGCGGAUAGGAGCUCCUGCUGCAUGGUGGGGGUUGGAAAGUGGCGGCGGUGUGGGAUGGAGUCGCGGUUUAUCAGCUGGUUGGUGGGGUAGUGGCUUACCAAGGCUUUGACGGGUAGCCGGCCUGAGAGGGUGACCGGCGACAAUGCGACUGAGAUACGGCCCAGACUCCUACGGGAGGCAGCAGUGGGGAACAUUGCGCAAUGGGCGCAAGCCUGAUGCAGCAACGCCGCGUGCGGGAUGACCGCCUUCGGGUGGUAAACCGCUUUCGCCUGAGACGAAGACUGAGUGACGGUAAUUAGUAAAAAAGCACCGGCUAACUACGUG
rnacentral:rRNA from 1 species